AUUGAACGCUGGCGCAUGCCUUACACAUGCAAGUCGAACGGCAGCACGGGAGCAAUCCUGGUGGCGAGUGGCGAACGGGUGAGUAAUAUAUCGGAACGUGCCCAGUCGUGGGGGAUAACGUAGCGAAAGCUACGCUAAUACCGCAUACGAUCUAUGGAUGAAAGCGGGGGAUCGCAAGACCUCGCGCGAUUGGAGCGGCCGAUAUCAGAUUAGGUAGUUGGUGAGGUAAAGGCUCACCAAGCCGACGAUCUGUAGCUGGUCUGAGAGGACGACCAGCCACACUGGGACUGAGACACGGCCCAGACUCCUACGGGAGGCAGCAGUGGGGAAUUUUGGACAAUGGGCGCAAGCCUGAUCCAGCAAUGCCGCGUGCAGGAUGAAGGCCUUCGGGUUGUAAACUGCUUUUGUACGGAACGAAACGGUGAGCUCUAAUACAGUUUGCUAAUGACGGUACCGUAAGAAUAAGCACCGGCUAACUACGUG
rnacentral:rRNA from 1 species